AGGGCUGGGGGAGGGGGAAGGGAGCGUGUGUGUGUGUGUGUGCGCGCGCGCGCGAGUGGUCCCCUGGCCUCGAAAGGCAGAUCCAGCUCUGCACGAAGAAGGAAUUUUAAGCAACAAGAGUUGUGCAAGGGAACGGCUGGCUUGAAUCCCAGCCACAGCUCCGCCUGGGGGUUCAGAGCACGGGGCCUUGGCUUCAGAACUGAACGCUCCACGCUCCACGGCCGUCCAGAUCUGCGGCCUUAGAUAAGGCCGGCCAUCUGCAGCCCCGGGCCAGUCCCUCCGCUGUGAGAUGGGCCUGAAGCUGCCGUACCCUGCAGGUGGGGCGCCGAAGACGAAGCCGCUGAGGUUACGCAUAAAGCAUCCACGGUGUGCCUGGCCCCCCGGAGGCACCGGAGAAACGCCGGCGGCUGCUGCUGCUGCUGCUGUCACAGGAGGAGAUGUGUGAAGACAAAGACCCAUCUCCUUAAAAACCCCCAGCCUCAACCGGACAGCGGACAGCGGACAGGACAGCGGACAGUGCGCUCAGCCCUCUGCCUCUCUGCUGAGCCGCCCGCCUGGCCUGGCCAGGUGUCGUCUCUCCACUCAAUCAUGUAACCUCGCUGCCCCCCCCCCCCCAGUCUCUCAGGCUCUGUCUGGGGGGUGCCCAUCCAUCCUUAUGGAUGUCCCUGCCCUAAUAAACCUUGCUAUUUUACCUCCUACUA